UCCUUUAGCCCAGCCUACACCGCUGGAAAUAGGCCCUUUAUGAGAUUCUCUUCUAAAUCCUAGAAGAGUGUACCCUCCAUUUCCUGAAGAAUCCUGACAACCAAAAAUCAGGAGCAGACUAUGUAUACAAGUCUGGAAUGGAGGACUUUCCAUUCUAGAAGAAAGAGUGGCCAUUUUCAACUCUUCUUCCUUUUGAGACCUCACUAAAAUUAGAGGAACAGAAUUUAAAAAUACAUUACAUCUCCAUGAUAAAGAGAACAGGAAAGGAAAUAUCAACAGACAAGGGGAUUUGACAGAUAUUUUUGGAGGGAAGAAACGGUGGAGCAGAGGUAAUUAAGCCGAUUGGAGAGAGGCUGUCCUGCAGACCGAGUGAGACAAGGUCCUGGCACUGGAGAGGCUGCUGCCUGGAUCCCUCCCCCAACACAAGAAAUCAGGAAAUCACCACUCCUCUUGCCCCAGGCCAGAGACUAGGUUUCUGUAGACAUGGAAGGUAGAGGCUGCGGACCUGGACCCCAGACACAGGUGAGAGGAGAGGCUUUGCGCUAAAGAGAGAGAGAGAGAGAAAAGGAGGUGGGGAAGAAGAAAGGAAAGAAAGGAGGAAGAGAGAAGGCCAGGCGCGGUGGCUCACGUCUGUAAUCCCAGCACUUUGGGAGGCCGAGGCGGGCGGAUCACGAGGUCAGGAGAUCGAGAC
rnacentral:lncRNA from 10 species